rnacentral:lncRNA from 1 species
AUGUGUGUUGAGAAGGUAAUUGGUGGUCUUCCGCAGAGACGCUCAGCUGCAGAUGGGGGAGAUGCAGGUCAUGCCAUUUCCUUACUCUCCACUGGCUKUUGUGCCAAAGGGAAGGUUCGGUCCGGCUGUGAUCAGCAGCUUUCCCUUCUGCAGUGUACCAAAGUGCUUGCCUUCUGGAGAGGGAGCCCCCCAUGGCUUGUUCUCACUCGUCCCAGGGAGGUGCUCCUCCUGCAUGGCUCUUCACUGACGGCUGCAGUUGUAAUUGAGCUGCUGUAA